UCUUCUGCACAACUUCCUGUUCAUCCUAAUUAGUUGCUCUCUUCUGAGCGCUCUUGCCACACUGUUUCUGCAAGCUGCGCUUGGCUUUUGGUAUCAACUGUUUUCUCAUCCUCCAGGGCACCUUGACAGGGGGAUCGAUUAGAAUGGUGGUCGUCCUUCGCCUUCGGAAAAGGUCGGACAGCUACAGGGCUGAAGUUAGCCUCUCCGAAUCUGAGGGUGAAAGACUCCUCUCUCGCCUCCAACAUCGACUUCUUUCAGACUGAGAUCCAAGGUGUAACCAUAGUAACAGUCUGACGUUUAGACAAGGCUGACGUCAUCUGUGGGGAUGGAUUGACUCAGUGCAGAAUCACAGAAGAGAUCUUCAGGUGUAGAUGGAUCUGAGACAGUGUGGAGGUGAUCCCCAGAGGUGGAAUAGGCUUGCACCUCCCCCUGCCCAGGAGAGACAGACUGCCCCACAGGACUUGCGUUGACCUCCACAGGCCCAGCCUAGGGUGAAGAGCCACAACAGCCCCCAGGUACUGCAGCUAUGGUGCUAGCUCCUCUGUGGUGGUGGGGGCAGGACGACCUGUUACAAUGAGCAGGGGGCCGUACACACUUCUAUCCAGGGGCUGCAGCUUGUGGGAGCAGUGAGGAGGGAAGGAGAGCAGCAUGACGCCAUUGGCUUUGCAGUAGUCCAUGCCCUGGAGUGAGAGGUGAGAGGCCUGAUUAUCUAGAAGCAGCAGCUGUGGAGACUGUGGGGACGUCCUGGUGUACUUCACAAAAUGUUGCAAGAAGGCCAGGAAGUCAUUCUCCCAUCCAGCCAGAACCACUAGCAGUGCCCAUGCAACCUGUAGGCCCAUCACGUAGGAAGUGAUCAAGAUGUUGUUGGUCCGACCUGCUUCCUCCCUCUGUUGGCAAUGAUUUUGUCCGGCACUUGGACUGUUGUGGUGCUGGUCUCAUCCAUGUUCCCCACAUCUUUGGCCUCAAAGUUGUGGCGGCCCAGAAUAGUAGAAAGGUUGUUGAAGAACUGAGAAACGUUUGUUGCAUUUAAACUUGUCGCUCUCAACAGACUGCUGGCUUGAGGCUGGCAGAUGAAGAGGCCGGGGUGCCUUUUGAGGAAGGAAGUGAACCAGUCUUUCCCUGCCAUCUCCUUGGUAACCCAGGUCUCAGGGUACUUGCAGUGGUAUUGUUGGGCAAGGUGAUAUGCAAGUCUACGUACCUGAAAAAUAAAGGCAAUAUUAAUUAUGAACUGUCAUGAACCUCUAUAUGACCUUUUAAAAUCUUAUAGUUAGUCUUUUUUUAAUGCUAAUCAACCACCGGCACUUGCAGUGGUAUUGUUGGGCAAGGUGAUAUGCAAGUCUACGUACCUGAAAAAUAAAGGCAAUAUUAAUUAUGAACUGUCAUGAACCUCUAUAUGACCUUUUAAAAUCUUAUAGUUAGUCUUUUUUUAAUGCUAAUCAACCACCGGCACUUGCAGUGGUAUUGUUGGGCAAGGUGAUAUGCAAGUCUACGUACCUGAAAAAUAAAGGCAAUAUUAAUUAUGAACUGUCAUGAACCUCUAUAUGACCUUUUAAAAUCUUAUAGUUAGUCUUUUUUUAAUGCUAAUCAAC